rnacentral:lncRNA from 1 species
GUGCUUGGAGAAGACGCUGGCGUGCCUCAGCCAGAAUGCCGUCGCGGGUGCGGAGUAAGUCGCCCGCCGUCUCGGACCGAGCCGUCCCAGGCUCGUAAGGGAGCAUCGCCAGAGGUGGGCGCCCGUAGACCACCUCAAAAGGCGUGGUGCGUAGGGCGGAGUGAUAGGAGGUGUUGUAGCAGUACUCCGCCCACACCAACCAGUCCACCCAAGCUCGUGGACGAU